GGGGAUUUAGCUCAGUGGUAGAGUGCUUGCUUAGCAAGUGCAAGGCCCUGGGUUCGGUCCCCAGCUCCA
rnacentral:tRNA from 1 species